AGUUCAAGAGUACGUGAAACCGUUUAGGGGUAAACCUGAGAAACCCGAAAGGUCGAAGGAAGAAAUUCAUUCGCGUUUCGACGCAGGCGUGGGACGGAGUUUGUGCGACGGAACUCGCGCGCCGCGCGUUCUUCGGAACCGCGAGCGUGUCCGUAGUUUUGCGCCCUUCGUUCUUCGAACCGGCGACGAACGCGUGCACUUUUCUUCUGGUAGGACGUCGCGAUCCGUCGGGCGUCGGUCUACGACUUGCGGUGGAGCCCGUCCGUCGUCGUCUUCGUACGAUGCGGACGGACCCGUUCGUUUUCCGACCGACUCGCUCGACGGUAUACUUAUAAGGUCGGAGGCCGCUCGAUUUAUUCAAGGAGCGUUCGACUCGUCGCAAGCGCGCCACGUGCGUCGGCACGCGGACCCGGUGCCGCGUCCGACCUCUGGUGACUGUUGGCGGCGAUGUUCUCGAACAGACCUCUUCAUCUCUCUCUCUCUCUCUCUUUUCUCUCUUCUCAUUUUAAACGGUGGGGAGAGGGUGUGUGGCGAGGGGGGAGAGGAGACCGAUCGGCGACGCUAUAGCUUUGGGUACUUUCAGGACCCGUCUUGAAACACGGACCAAGGAGUCUAGCAUGUACGCGAGUCAUUGGGAAUUACUAAACCUAAAGGCGUAAUGAAAGUGAAGGUCUUCCUCGCGAAGACCGAGGGAAGACGGACGGUCUGCGCCCUCAAAAGUGGGGACCGUCCUGCAUUCCCGGGGCGUCUCGUUCACAUCGCGUGAAGAGGCGCACCAAGAGCGUACACGCUGGGACCCGAAAGAUGGUGAACUAUGCCUGGUCAGGACGAAGUCAGGGGAAACCCUGAUGGAGGUCCGUAGCGAUU
rnacentral:rRNA from 1 species